CUCGUGUAUACCUGAACAUAUGGUCUCAAAUCAAGCAAGAGGACCCGCUGAACUUAAGCAUAUCAAUAAGCGGAGGAAAAGAAACCAACAGGGAUUCCCUUAGUAACGGCGAGUGAAGCGGGAUGAGCUCAAUUUUGAAAUCUCACUGUCCUUGCGGCGGUGCGAAUUGUAGUUUCUAGAAACACUUUCGGGGGCGGCCUGGGUUUAAGUCCGUUGGAAUACGGCAUCAUAGAGGGUGAGAAUCCCGUCUUUGACCCGGUGUCCGCUCCUGUUGCGAUGUGUUUUCGAAGAGUCGGAUAGUUUGGGAAUGCUGUCCAAAAUGGGUGGUAAAUACCAUCUAAAGCUAAAUAAUGGUGAGAGACCGAUAGCGAACAAGUACCGUGAGGGAAAGAUGAAAAGAACUUUGAAAAGAGAGUUAAACAGUACGUGAAAUUGUCAAAAGGGAAACGCUUGAAACCAGUAUUGCGGUGCGGAAAUCAGCCGUUCUUUUAGAGCGGUGCACUUUUCGCGUCCGCGGGUCAGCAUCAGUUUGGUCUGGGCUACAAAGCCGGCGCACGUUGAACUUGUUUCUAGUGGUCCGGUAAUGUCCUGGGCUGGACUGAGGUCUGCAGCUUUGUAUUUGGGCACCCCGCCGCCGUCCGAAUGUCUUUUGCAGACAACUUGUUG
rnacentral:rRNA from 1 species